GACGAACGCUGGCGGCGUGCUUAACACAUGCAAGUCGAACGAAGUGGCGAACGGGUGAGUAACGCGUAAUCAACCUGCCCUUCAGAGGGGGACAACAGAUGGAAACGACUGCGAAUACCGCAUACUGAAGGAGGGGAUUGCGUCUGAUUAGCUAGUUGGAGGGGUAACGGCCCACCAGGGCAAGGAUCAGUAGCCUGGUUGAGCGGAGUAACGGCCAAAUUGGGACUGAGACACGGCCCAGACGCAUUCUGGAGGCAGCAGGGUGGAAUCUUCCGCAAUGGACGAAAGUCUGACGGGGCAACGCCGCGUGAAGGAUGACGGCCUUCGGGUUGUAAAGCUCUGUUAAUCGGGACGCGGUACCGGAAUAGAAAGCCACGGCUAACUUCGUGCCAGCAGCCGCGGUAAUAC
rnacentral:rRNA from 1 species